rnacentral:lncRNA from 1 species
UGGGAAAUUUGGCUUUUGUGUCUCUAAUUCUGACUUUUCAUUGGAUCAGAUAAGCAGCUGAGUUUCAGGUUGGUGAAACUUCAAUGUGAUUGAUUCCAUUUUGAUUUUAGUCUGGUCUGUUUGGGCCCAGUUCAGAAACUUAGUCCAGAACAAUGUCCCUGUAAGUUUUACUAACAAGUCAGAGCCAAGGUUGGAGAGAAGGAAUCCUGAUUUCUGUCCUGGGGUUCUUAGAAUGCGCUUCUGUUCAACAGGGUGUUAGACCGUGUCACAGAGUAUCCUGGUCCCCAGGGCUGCAAAGCCAACCUGAAACUCCUUUCCUUCUUGAUUGACUGAUGGGUGUUGGCCUCUUCUGGGAGCCUCCACAGUCACCUGGGAGUUGCCUCCUCUUAGCCGCGCAGCUCUCCCUGCUGUUACCCAGGCUGUUUCCUUGAAGACUUAGAUUUUCUUUGGCCUCCCUGGUUUCUCACUGCCCUGGUCAGCUGGUUGCACAAUAGCUAUUUGUAUUUCUGCUAACCUGAGCUGUCUUUCCAUCCGUUCAUUUGUGAUCUUUUUCUUUUUUGUUUCUGCAGGUCUGGGGAGGCACCAAGGGCCUUGCCCUACAUCCCUAUCCCUUUUGAAAUUUAAUUUGAGACAGGGCCUUGAUAAAUUGCUGAGGCUGGCCUCGAACUUGCCAUCCUCCUGCCUUAGCCUACUGAAUAGCUGGGAUUAUAGGAUUGCACCACUGAGGCUGACCCCAUUCGGAUAUUCUCAAAUGCCAAUUACAAUACCUGGCAGAAUAAAUUCCCCAUGAUCCAAUCUGAGUCUUCUCAGUGAGCUGAGUGGUUUUCAAGGAGGACAGCGGGCAUUUCUGUCUAGUAUUCCAGGAAAUUGUUCUUUCCUCAAGUAUCUGCUGUGCCCUUGUGGUGAACCCAGCUCUCGACUGGAUGCUGUAAGGCCACUAGGACCUGGUACCAGCUUUUGCCCUUG